AUAUUGCUACCAGCAGUGCAAUCUCACUUCAACAUAUGUAAGUAAAAAGGUUGGGCAUUAUGGAGUUUUCUUCUAAUCUUCUAGAUCCAAGGCUGCGACUCACUGCUCAAUAGACGAAUUUGCUAUUUUCAGUUUGGUGCUUAAUGAUACUCCAAAUGGUAAAUAGACUUUUCUGUUUUCACCAUCAAAGGCAAUGACUUUUCACUACUCAUUCACCAUAUUUGCUAUUUCUAUCCCUUCAGUACCUAAUUAUACUCCCGUUGGCAGAUGGAUUCAAUGGAAAGCUUCUCCAUCCAGGCAUAUACUUUUUAAUGCUGAUGGUUCUUUUUUGAAAGAAUGUACAGGAGGCGGCGUAGAGAGUCUAAUGGAGAUUGUAUUUCUGCCUUCUCAACCUGUUCCGGCUCAUGUCCAUAUGAACAUACCCUUAUCAAACUCACCUAAGCUCACCCUCCUUUAGCGACAGACCCGGCGACGGUUUGGACAUACAACCGUCGUCUAUACUUUUAGCGACGGACAACAUAUAGUGUCAUUAAAAGUAUAGACGAUGGUUGUAUGAUCGAACUGUCGCCGGAUCCGUCGCUAAAGGGGGGUGAGCUCGGGUGAGUUGGAUAAUGGGUGAGUUUAAGAUCCGG
rnacentral:lncRNA from 1 species